rnacentral:rRNA from 1 species
CCAACCAAGGGAAUGCCUCAGUAACGGCGAGUGAAGCGGCAACAGCUCAAAUUUGAAAUCUGGCUCCUUCCGGGUCCGCAUUGUGAUUUGGAAAGGAUGCUUCCGGUGCGGCCCCUGUCUAAUUGCCCUGGAACGGGCCGUCAGAGAGGGUGAAAAUCCCGUCUGGGAUGGGGUGUCCGCGCCCGUGUGAAACUCCUUCAACGAGUCGGGUUGAUUGGAAAUAA